rnacentral:rRNA from 1 species
AUUGAACGCUGGUGGCAUGCUUUACACAUGCAAGUCGAACGGUAACAGGCCGCAAGGUGCUGACGAGUGGCGGACGGGUGAGUAAUGCAUCGGAACGUGCCCAGUCGUGGGGGAUAACUACUCGACAGAGUAGCUAAUACCGCAUACGAUCUAUGGAUGAAAGCGGGGGACCGUAAGGCCUCGCGCGGUUGGAGCGGCCGAUGUCAGAUUAGGUAGUUGGUGGGGUAAAGGCUCACCAAGACCACGAGCUGUAGCUGGUCUGAGAGGACGACCAGCCACACUGGGAGUGAGCCACGGCCCAGAGUACUACGGGAGGGAGCAGUGGGGAAUUUUGGACAAUGGGCGCAAGCCUGAUCCAGCAAUGCCGCGUGCAGGAAGAAGGCCUUCGGGCUGUAAACUGCUUUUGUACGGAACGAAACGGCUCUGGUUAAUACCCGGGGCUAAUGACGGUACCGGAAGAAUAAGCACCGGCUAACUACGUG